GUACAGCUGCCCCGGCGGGCGCGCGGUCCGCGUGGCGGCGAGUCCUCGGCUCUGGAGGGCGCGGACCCGCGGGACCCGGCUGCCGCGGCGGCGAGGCGGGGACCCGGCACCUCCGCGCGGCUCACUCCCGCCUGCGGGCUGCGACUUUCCAUCCGCGCGUAAGACGGCGAGCCCACGAGGACCUGGACAUCGUUCCGCGCCCGGGGGGACUGUGAGGGUGCCGCCAAGACCCCGAAGCGGGUCCUCUGCGCUUAACGAGUGCCGGGGCCUCGCCUGACCGCGGCGCGAAGCGCGCGAGAAUGAGCCGGUUUCCCUCCGUCAAGAAAUUUCCAUUUAAGUCCCAGAAAGUCAUAAAACGGCGAAGACUCGGCAGUGGCCCCAGUGUCUGGGAGAAAAGUCCUAAAGGGUGGAGGGCCGGGACGCUGGCUCCUCGGGUCCCCGCCUGCUGUGACUUCCGCAGGGAGAGACGUGUCUCGAGUCGGCACCGGCGGGUCCCCCAGCUCUGACACGCGGCAGCCUCGGGCCUGCAGCUCCCCGCGUAGCAGCAGGACCUCACAGGCGGCGCGGGGGACGGGAAGGAAGCCAGGCUUGGGGACUUCUCCCGACAGAGUGGACCCCCACACCCCUAAAGUGAAAGACAGCGAUAGUCAAGUUCAACCGCAGGAAGAGCAAGGUUCCACCAUGCGCCAGAGCAGACGGUGCCGAGGUAGUCACUCCCUGCGCCUCUUCCUUCCAGAAGCCCAAAGCCGAGGCACCCCCAGGCGAGAGUCUCCGCCCCCGGGAUGGACGCGCUCCCACCUCCCUCCUGCCCUCGCGCCCGGCAGCGACUUUCUGCCUCUGGCAGUGGCUCCACCUAAAGGCUUUACUGUUACUUUCCCUUGUCAUCGCUGUUAUUGGCGUGAAGCCCUCUGGCCGGCUCCCGGCCGCCGGCAGGGCCCCGCCUCCCUCCUUCCUUUCCCCGAGCCCCUCGGCACGGGCAAGACUCGGAGCCGCUCAUGCUCCCGCUGCCGGUGCGCCGACCACCGCGCCCCAGUCCGUCUGGAUCCCGAGACUCCCUCGCCGGCGCAGCACACAGGACGGCCUCCACAACAGAGUUAUUCUGCCCACAAUGUCAAGCGUGCUCAGCUCAAGGAACCCUGCCUUACACUCCAGGCCAGCCUCUGAAGGUGUUUAGGAGAAGGAAAAACGACUCCACGGUGCUGUGUGGGGUCCCCGUCUCUGCGCAGCAGUCAUGCUCCAGGGAGGGGCUCUGUGGAUCCAGAUGCAGCUGAAACAGAACAACACAAGUGGAAAACGGAGAAAAAAAAGGUUGCAAAGGAUUAAAAGUCCAUUUACUGAUAUUUUAUAUUCUACUGUGCACAGUCUUUGCAUAAGAAAAUUUCAAGAACGGAGAUGGGCCCUAAAACAGCCCUCAAAAGCUGCUGCUUCAGCGUGUGGCCCUCGCUGGGCUCUCCAGCACCCAUCACUGACCACGUGGCGUUUGCUCUAGAGAAUCGACAUGUCUGACUGUGGUCUUCCAUCCCUCGUGGCUCUCUGGAUGCCAAAUGGCAUUGCUGGUUCUCAGUUUUUGUUUCCCGAAGCGUGUGUCUUAAAGCUGUUUCUCACACCAUUAAGUUCAAUAAGGACGAGCAAGCCAUGGACUCUGCCCUCAAGGAGCUGACGUGCUGUCAAGGGAGAGACACCUAGACAACUGGCUGAAGACAGUCAAGGAAAUGCAGCGCUCUUUGCAGAAACCCAGGGAGAAAGUUCGCAAAUCUUCUGAAGGAAUUAGAAAAACUUUUGCAGAUGAGGUGACAUUAGAGUCUGCCCUUGACCAUUCAAUUUAUUCCACAGAAAAUAUGUCAGAGGGAAAUGGGGAGAAAUUAAGAAGCAAACUCACAUGAGUCUCUGAACUAGUGAGGGCACGUAACUGGUUACCGGAAAUAAAUCAGGAGAGAAGCUCCCUCCCGGAAGGACGGGAGCUGUGACUUAGGACGUUACAGUAGAAGGAAGGUCUCAUCCUUCUGUCAGCUCCCCAAUCUCUAACGAGUAAAAAAUCAUCAAAGAAAACAAAAAUGUUACACUCUAGCCACCAUUUGAGUAUUUAUUGUAUGCAAGGCAUAGUGCUAAUUUCUUUGCACAGGGUAUCCCAAUUGAUUCUGUCAACAGCU
rnacentral:lncRNA from 1 species